rnacentral:hammerhead_ribozyme from 1 species
AGCCGAAACCGGGCACUCGCCCGGUCCGCCGGAGAUAACCUUCCGGCGCUGAUGAGGCAGGUUCCU